rnacentral:rRNA from 1 species
UACGUAGGGUGCAAGCGUUGUCCGGAAUUAUUGGGCGUAAAGAGCUCGUAGGCGGCGCGAGUAGUCAACGGUGAAAGCCCGGGGCUCAACCCCGGGUCGGCCGUCGAUACUCUCGUGCUUGAGCACUGUAGAGGCAGGUGGAAUUCCGGGUGUAGCGGUGGAAUGCGUAGAGAUCCGGAAGAACACCGGUGGCGAAGGCGGCCUGCUGGGCAGUAGCUGACGCUGAGGCGCGACAGCGUGGGGAGCAAACAGG